CAGGCUUAACACAUGCAAGUCGAGGGGCAGCAUGGUCUUAGCUUGCUAAGGCCGAUGGCGACCGGCGCACGGGUGAGUAACACGUAUCCAACCUGCCGUCUACUCUUGGACAGCCUUCUGAAAGGAAGAUUAAUACAAGAUGGCAUCAUGAGUCCGCAUGUUCACAUGAUUAAAGGUAUUCCGGUAGACGAUGGGGAUGCGUUCCAUUAGAUAGUAGGCGGGGUAACGGCUCACCUAGUCUUCGAUGGAUAGGGGUUCUGAGAGGAAGGUCCCCCACAUUGGAACUGAGACACGGUCCAAACUCCUACGGGAGGCAGCAGUGAGGAAUAUUGGUCAAUGGGCGAGAGCCUGAACCAGCCAAGUAGCGUGAAGGAUGACUGCCCUAUGGGUUGUAAACUUCUUUUAUACGGGAAUAAAGUGAGGCACGUGUGCCUUUUUGUAUGUACCGUAUGAAUAAGGAUCGGCUAACUCCGUGCCAGCAGCCGCGGUAAUACGGAGGAUCCGAGCGUUAUCCGGAUUUAUUGGGUUUAAAGGGAGCGUAGGCGGACGCUUAAGUCAGUUGUGAAAGUUUGCGGCUCAACCGUAAAAUUGCAGUUGAUACUGGGUGUCUUGAGUACAGUAGAGGCAGGCGGAAUUCGUGGUGUAGCGGUGAAAUGCUUAGAUAUCACGAAGAACUCCGAUUGCGAAGGCAGCUUGCUGGACUGUAACUGACGCUGAUGCUCGAAAGUGUGGGUAUCAAACAGGAUUAGAUACCCUGGUAGUCCACACAGUAAACGAUGAAUACUCGCUGUUGCGAUAUACAGUAAGCGGCCAAGCGAAAGCGUUAAGUAUUCCACCUGGGGAGUACGCCGGCAACGGUGAAACUCAAAGGAAUUGACGGGGGCCCGCACAAGCGGAGGAACAUGUGGUUUAAUUCGAUGAUACGCGAGGAACCUUACCCGGGCUUGAAUUGCAACUGAAUGAUGUGGAGACAUGUCAGCCGCAAGGCAGUUGUGAAGGUGCUGCAUGGUUGUCGUCAGCUCGUGCCGUGAGGUGUCGGCUUAAGUGCCAUAACGAGCGCAACCCUUAUCGAUAGUUACCAUCAGGUUAUGCUGGGGACUCUGUCGAGACCGCCGUCGUAAGAUGUGAGGAAGGUGGGGAUGACGUCAAAUCAGCACGGCCCUUACGUCCGGGGCUACACACGUGUUACAAUGGGGGGUACAGAAGGCAGCUACACGGUGACGUGAUGCUAAUCCCGAAAGCCUCUCUCAGUUCGGAUUGGAGUCUGCAACCCGACUCCAUGAAGCUGGAUUCGCUAGUAAUCGCGCAUCAGCCACGGCGCGGUGAAUACGUUCCCGGGCCUUGUACACACCGCCCGUCAAGCCAUGAAAGCCGGGGGUACCUGAAGUGCGUAACCGCAAGGAGCGCCCUAGGGUAAAACUGGUGAUUGGGGCUAAGU
rnacentral:rRNA from 1 species